rnacentral:rRNA from 1 species
AGUGAACGCUGGCGGUAGGCCUAACACAUGCAAGUCGAACGGCAGCACAGUAAGAGCUUGCUCUUACGGGUGGCGAGUGGCGGACGGGUGAGGAAUACAUCGGAAUCUACUUUUUCGUGGGGGAUAACGUAGGGAAACUUACGCUAAUACCGCAUACGACCUACGGGUGAAAGCAGGGGAUCUUCGGACCUUGCGCGAUUGAAUGAGCCGAUGUCGGAUUAGCUAGUUGGCGGGGUAAAGGCCCACCAAGGCGACGAUCCGUAGCUGGUCUGAGAGGAUGAUCAGCCACACUGGAGCUGGGACACGGUCCAGACUCCUACGGGAGGCAGCAGUGGGGAAUAUUGGACAAGGGGCGCAAGCCUGAUCCAGCCAUACCGCGUGGGUGAAGAAGGCCUUCGGGUUGUAAAGCCCUUUUGUUGGGAAAGAAAAGCAGCAGGUUAAUACCCCGCUGUUCUGACGGUACCCAAAGAAUAAGCACCGGCUAACUUCGU